rnacentral:rRNA from 1 species
CGAGUCCUGGCUCAGAACGACGCUGGCGGCGCGUUUAAGCAUGCAAGUCGAGCGGCAGGGGGGCCUCGGUCCCCCGAGAGCGGCGGACGGGUGAGUAACACGUGGACAACCUGCCCCCCGGUUCGGGAUAGCCCAGGGAAACCUGGAUCAAUACCGGAUGCGAGGGCGGCCGCACAAGCGGCCGUCGGGAAAGGCGCUUCGGCGCCGCCGGGGGAUGGGUCCGCGUCCCAUUAGCUAGACAGUGGGGUAACGGCCCACCGUGGCGAUGAUGGGUAGCCGGCCUGAGAGGGUGGACGGCCACAUUGGAACUGAGACACGGUCCAGACUCCUACGGGAGGCAGCAGCUAAGAACCUUCCGCAAUGGGCGAAAGCCUGACGGAGCGACGCCCGCGUGAACGAAGAAGGCCGUGAGGUUGUAAAGUUCUUUUCGGGAGGGGGAACGAGGCUGCCAGGCAAUGGGCGGCCGAUGACGUGAAUCCCGGAAUAAGCCCCGGCUAACUACGUGCCAGCAGCGGC